rnacentral:rRNA from 1 species
GGCAAAAGCUCAAAUUUGAAAUCGGCCACCAGGUCGAGUUGUMAUUUGUAGAUUGUAUCUUGAGAGCGGAUUAAAGUCUGUUGGAACACAGCGCCUUAGAGGGUGACAGCCCCGUAAAAUCUAUUCUCAUUGUAAGAUACUUUCGAAGAGUCGAGUUGUUUGGGAAUGCAGCUCUAAGUGGGAGGUAAAUUCCUUCUAAAGCUAAAUAUUGACGAGAGACCGAUAGCGAACAAGUACUGUGAAGGAAAGAUGAAAAGCACUUUGAAAAGAGAGUGAAAAAGUACGUGAAAUUGUUAAAAGGGAAGGGUAUUGAAUCAGACUUGGUGCUGUUGUUCAACUGUGUUUCGGCAUAGUGUACUCAGCASUACUAGGCCAAGGUGGGGUGUUUGGGAGUGAAAAAKAAGUAGGAACGUAACUCUUCGGAGUGUUAUAGCCKACUUUCAUAGCUCCUCAKGCGCCUCAGGACUGCSCUUCGGCA